rnacentral:tRNA from 1 species
GCUCCGGUAGUAUAGCCCGGACAAGUAUGCCGGCCUUUCGGGCCUAAAAAAGCGGAGAGAGCCGGAGACCCGGGUUCAAAUCCCGGCCGGAGCA